rnacentral:rRNA from 1 species
UGGGGAAUCUUCCGCAAUGGACGAAAGUCUGACGGAGCAACGCCGCGUGAGUGAAGAAGGUUUUCGGAUCGUAAAACUCUGUCUUUUGGGGCGAACGUGAGUAUGGUGAACAAUCAUAGUCAGUGACGGUACCAAAGGAGGAAGCCACGGCUAACUACGUGCCAGCAGCCGCGGUAAUACGUAGGUGGCAAGCGUUGUCCGGAAUUAUUGGGCGUAAAGAGCGCGUAGGCGGGAUAGUCAGUCUGUUGUAAAGUGCGGGGCUCAACCCCGUGAUGGCAAUGGAAACAGCUAUUCUUGAGUGCAGGAGAGGAAAGUGGAAUUCCCAGUGUAGCGGUGAAAUGCGUAGAUAUUGGGAGGAACACCAGUGGCGAAGGCGACUUUCUGGACUGUGUCUGACGCUGAGGCGCGAAAGCCAGGGGAGCGAACGGGAUUAGAUACCCCGGUAGUCCUGGGCCGUAAACGAUGGGUACUAGGUGUGGGAGGUAUCGACCCCCUUCCGUGCCGGAGUUAACGCAAUAAGUACCCCCGCCUGGGGAGUACGGUCGCAAGACUGAAACUCAAAGGAAUUGACGGGGUCAUAGCUGUUUCCUG